rnacentral:rRNA from 1 species
UACGGAAGGCAGCAGUGGGGAAUCUUGCGCAAUGGGCGAAAGCCUGACGCAGCCAUGCCGCGUGAAUGAUGAAGGUCUUAGGAUUGUAAAAUUCUUUCACCGGGGACGAUAAUGACGGUACCCGGAGAAGAAGCCCCGGCUAACUUCGUGCCAGCAGCCGCGGUAAUACGAAGGGGGCUAGCGUUGCUCGGAAUUACUGGGCGUAAAGGGCGCGUAGGCGGAUCGUUAAGUCAGAGGUGAAAUCCCAGGGCUCAACCCUGGAACUGCCUUUUGAUACUGGCGAUCUUGAGUAUGAGAGAGGUAUGUGGAACUCCGAGUGUAGAGGUGAAAUUCGUAGAUAUUCGGAAGACACCAGUGGCGAAGGCGACAUACUGGCUCAUUACUGACGCUGAGGCGCGAAAGCGUGGGGAGCAAACAGGGAUUAGAUACC